UACGAAGGGGGCUAGCGUUGCUCGGAAUCACUGGGCGUAAAGGGUGCGUAGGUGGACAAUUAAGUCAGUGGUGAAAUAUCCGGGCUUAACCCGGAAACUGCCAUUGAUACUACUUGUCUUGAAUACUUUGGAGGUAAGCGGAAUAUGUCAUGUAGCGGUGAAAUGCUUAGAUAUGACAUAGAACACCAAUUGCGAAGGCAGCUUACUACACAGUAAUUGACACUGAGGCACGAAAAGCGUGGGGGAUCAAAACAGG
rnacentral:rRNA from 1 species